GAGUUUGAUCCUGGCUCAGGAUGAACGCUAGCGGGAGGCUUAACAUAUGCAAGUCGAGGGGCAGCACGGGAUAGCAAUAUUCUGGUGGCGACCGGCGCACGGGUGAGUAACACGUAUGCAACCUACCUCGUACAGGGGGAUAACCCGGAGAAAUUCGGACUAAUAUCCCAUAAUGAUAUUGAGAGGCAUCUUUUAAUAUUUAAAGCUCAGGCGGUACGGGAUGGGCAUGCGGAACAUUAGCUAGUUGGCAGGGUAACGGCCUACCAAGGCUGCGAUGUUUAGGGGACCUGAGAGGGUUAUCCCCCACACUGGUACUGAGACACGGACCAGACUCCUACGGGAGGCAGCAGUGAGGAAUAUUGGUCAAUGGGCGCAAGCCUGAACCAGCCAUCCCGCGUGAAGGAAGAAGGCGCUAUGCGUUGUAAACUUCUUUUCCAGGGGGAGAAUUUUUCCGUCGUGACGGGAAUUGACGGUACUCUGGGAAUAAGCAUCGGCUAACUCCGUGCCAGCAGCCGCGGUAAUACGGAGGAUGCGAGCGUUAUCCGGAUUUAUUGGGUUUAAAGGGUGCGUAGGCGGAUAGAUAAGUCAGUGGUGAAAUUCUGCAGCUUAACUGUAGACUUGCCGUUGAUACUGUCAGUCUUGAGUAUGGUCAAGGCAGGCGGAAUGUGUAAUGUAGCGGUGAAAUGCUUAGAUAUUACACAGAACACCGAUUGCGAAGGCAGCUUGCUGGGCCAUUACUGACGCUGAUGCACGAAAGCGUGGGGAUCGAACAGGAUUAGAUACCCUGGUAGUCCACGCCGUAAACGAUGAUCACUCGCUGUUGGCGAUACACAGUCAGCGGCUAAGCAAAAGCAUUAAGUGAUCCACCUGGGGAGUACGGCC
rnacentral:rRNA from 1 species